rnacentral:rRNA from 1 species
UACGUAGGGGGCAAGCGUUGUCCGGAUUCAUUGGGCGUAAAGAGCGUGUAGGCGGCCAGGUAGGUCGGUUGUGAAAACUGGAGGCUCAACCUUCAGAGGUCGACCGAAACCAUCUGGCUAGAGUCCGGGAGAGGAGAGUGGAAUUCCUGGUGUAGCGGUGAAAUGCGCAGAUAUCAGGAAGAACACCCGUGGCGAAAGCGGCUCUCUGGAACGGUUCUGACGCUGAGACGCGAAAGCGUGGGGAGCAAACAGG